GUCUAUGGCCAUACCACCCUGAAUGCGCCCGAUCUCAUCUGAUCUCGGAAGCUAAGCAGGGUCGUGCCUGGUUAGUAUUUGGAUGGGAGACUGCCUCCGAAUACUGGGUGCUGUAGGCU
rnacentral:rRNA from 1 species